rnacentral:rRNA from 1 species
UACGAAGGGUGCAAGCGUUACUCGGAAUUACUGGGCGUAAAGCGUGCGUAGGCGGUUUGUUAAGUCUGUCGUGAAAGCCCCGGGCUCAACCUGGGAAUGGCGAUGGAUACUGGCGAGCUAGAGUACGGUAGAGGAGAGUGGAAUUCCCGGUGUAGCAGUGAAAUGCGUAGAGAUCGGGAGGAACACCAGUGGCGAAGGCGGCCUUCUGGACCAAUACUGACGCUCAUGCACGAAAGCGUGGGGAGCGAACGGG